rnacentral:rRNA from 1 species
UUAAGGGAUUUAAGUAGAAUUAAUAAUGUUUUUCUUUGAAAGUAGUUUAAAUUGUGUAACGAUUCAUUUUUAAUUUCAUGGUGUAUAAAUAAUAAAUGUUUAAAAAUUUAUAUUUAGGUAAAUAUAAUGUUAAUAUGAGUAUUGGUUAGAAUUUCAUAGUUAGUAUAUCCAAAAGCGUUGUAGUUGUGGAUGGUUUACGUUAAGAAAAAAGUUAAGUAAGGUGAAGGAAUUCGGCAAAUAUUAAUCUCGCCUGUUUAUCAAAAACAUGUCUCUUUGUAAAAUAUAAAUAGAGAGUCGGGCCUGCUCGGUGAAUAAGUUUUUAACAGCUGCGGUAUUUUAACUGUACUAAGGUAGCAUAAUAAUUUGCCUUAUAAUUUGAGGCUAGAAUGAAUGGUUUGACGAAGGUUAAUCUGUCUCCAUCUUAUUUUUUAGAAGUUAAUUUUUAAAGUGAAAAAGCUUAAAUCUUUCAAAGGGACGAGAAGACCCUAAUGAGCUUAUAAUUUUAUUAUCAUUAUUUAAAACAUUUAGGUGGUGGUAUAUAAAUUUUAAUUGGGGUGAUUAAGGAAUAAAUUGUGUAUAGUAACUUCCUUAAAUUAGGUAUUUGUAGAUAAAGUAACCAAUGUAAUAUUGCUUAUAGUAUAGUUACCAUAGGGAUAACAGCGUAAUUUGUUUAGAGAGUUCUUAUUGAAAAACGAGAUUGCGACCUCGAUGUUGGAUUAAAGUAACCCUAAGGUGCAGAAGCUUUAGUAGGUAAAUCUGUUCGAUUUUUAAUACUUUACAUGAUCUGAGUUCAGACCGGCGUGAGCCAGGUUGGUUUCUAUCUUUUAAAAAUGAGUGUUGCUUCUUUUAGUACGAGAGGACCAAGGAAAGCUGAAAGUAUUAUUAAAAU